CCUACGGGAGGCAGCAGUGGGGAAUUUUGGACAAUGGGCGAAAGCCUGAUCCAGCAAUGCCGCGUGCAGGAAGAAGGCCUUCGGGUUGUAAACUGCUUUUGUACGGAACGAAACGGUCUGCUUUAAUACAGUGGGCUAAUGACGGUACCGUAAGAAUAAGCACCGGCUAACUACGUGCCAGCAGCCGCGGUAAUACGUAGGGUGCGAGCGUUAAUCGGAAUUACUGGGCGUAAAGCGUGCGCAGGCGGUUAUAUAAGACAGUUGUGAAAUCCCCGGGCUCAACCUGGGAAUUGCAUCUGUGACUGUAUAGCUAGAGUACGGUAGAGGGGGAGGGAAUUCCGCGUGUAGCAGUGAAAUGCGUAGAUAUGCGGAGGAACACCGAUGGCGAAGGCAAUCCCCUGGACCUGUACUGACGCUCAUGCACGAAAGCGUGGGGAGCAAACAGGAUUAGAUACCCUGGUAGUCCACGCCCUAAACGAUGUCAACUGGUUGUUGGGUGCAUUAGUACUCAGUAACGAAGCUAACGCGUGAAGUUGACCGCCUGGGGAGUACGGCCGCAAGGUUGAAACUUAAANGAAUUGACGG
rnacentral:rRNA from 1 species